rnacentral:rRNA from 1 species
GACGAACGCUGGCGGCGUGCUUAACACAUGCAAGUCGAGCGGUAAGGCCUCUUCGGUGGUACACGAGCGUCGAACGGGUGAGUAACACGUGGGUGACCUGCCCUCAGCUCUGGGAUAAGCCUGGGAAACUGGAUCUGAUACCGGAACUGACCUUUCCUCGCAUGGGGAUUGGUGGAUAGUGUUUUCGGGUGUGGUUGGGCCCGUGGCCUCUCAGCUUGUUGGUGGGGUGAUGGCGUACCGAGGCGGCGACCGGUCGCACGCGUGCGUAGGCGACCGGCCAACCCGGGAGUGAGGCACGGGUCAGAAUCCUACGGGAGGGAGCAGUGGGGAAUCGUGGGCAAUGGGCGGAAGCCUGAAGGAGCGACGGAGCGUGGGGGAUGACGGCCUGCGGGUUGUAAACCUCUUUCGAACCCGACGAAUUUGGACGGUAGGGGUAGAAGAAGCACCGGCCAACUACGUG